UAUUGGUAUUCAUUAUAUUUAAAUUAAUGUUGAUAGUAACGUGUAUUCUUAUCAAAUAGUGUCGAUAAGGUCAAUAAACGUAGAUUUAGUGAUUAAACAGCUUGUAUAUGCGUCUUUCUGGUUAACUAAAACCCAAAUAUUUUAAUAAGAUAGAAUAAUUUAAAUUCAACAAAAACAAAAUCAAUCAGACUCAUGGUAAUGAUAACGAGUUAAACAAAAUGUCAUUGUCGCAGACCACGGUCAUUCUUUAUCGUUUUAUGAUUGAAUCCUAAUGAUAUAUGAGUAAUUUGCAUGUUGAAUUGAAACUAAACUUUUAAACAUGUUUAUUUUACUAUAUUUAUACGCAAGCUUAGUCAAUUUACUUUAAAUCUAUUUUGCAAAAAAAACUGAAUUGAAAUUUUCAAGUGAAUUCAUAUUUGUUUAUUCAAUAUUUUCUUGUCUGUACAACGUUACAAGUUAUUUUAAUAAAAGUGAGAGCUGAGAAUUAUUAUGGAGAGAUUUAAAAAACGCUCGCCAUCACAACAUUAAUAUCUUCUCAACUUGGCAUCAAAGCAAAAAAAAAAAUGAUUUUAAUAUUAAACAUCGCCUCAAAGUUCAAAAACAUUGAUAUUAUUAUUGCCACCCUGAAAUUGUCACGAGGAUAUCAAAAUGCAAGAAGGACUGAAGCCCAGAACUAUAUUUGGAUUCAACACUGUAUUACAUGUUUAAGUGUAGAUUAAAACAUCGCACACUAAAUUCACCACAGUGUGCUCAUUGAGCGCAUGUGAGGCUAUUUUUUUUAUUAUUAUUAUUAACGUUACCAUUAAGGAUAUUGCUUUUUAAUUUUUAAUCGACGUAUCUUAGAAAAUAUAUCAUCCAUGAAAAUUCUAUCAACAUUAGUUUACUCAGCAUCAUUUAUAUUAUUAAUAAUAAAAUGAGUCAUUAAUAAAUAGUUUAUUUUUUUCCCUAUUUUUACAAUUACAAAGUAAACUAUUUGUUCAAUUGAAUUAAAGUAAGAACUAUAACCCGAAGACUACUGUUUAUGAAAGUCUAAAGGCCCUUCUGGUUUAUCUUAAGCCUGUCCAAAAAAUAAAAAAUUUUAAACAUAAUGAUAUUAUUUAGUUAUUUAUUAUAUAAAAUUCAUUGUUGGGUAUUAACUAGCAAAAUUAAAGUAAUUUUUUUUUUAACUUUUCAACUUAACUAAUUGUUUUUCUAAUAAACUUUUUAACUUUUAAUUUUCUGUUGAAAUAAGUAGCUUUUUUCAGUUAAUUAGUUAAAAUAACAGUUAAGCUAAAUUUAAAAUUUCAUAAAAAAUGUAUGUCAUUAUAUUCUGCGUACGUGAUUUAAUUUAAAAACAUUGAAUCUUCCUCUAUCCCAAAUAUUAUAUUUAUAUAACAAUAAAUAUACUUUUUUGAAUUUUUAAAAAAUGUAUGUGUUUUUUUCUGAUUUAUUUUUAAUAACUAAUUUUAAUGAUAAAACAAUGCAACCAACACCAAAAUGUGCAAAACGAAUAACAAUUUUUUUAAAUCUUUAAUAUUUUCUUUCUAUUCAAGUUUAAAAGUUAAAAAUCGAUUCUUAGCUUUCCCUUGCAUUACG